rnacentral:rRNA from 1 species
CAAUAGCGUAUAUUAAAGUUGUUGCGGUUAAAAAGCUCGUAGUUGGAUUUCUGCUGAGAACGACCGGUCCGCCCUCUGGGUGUGUAUCUGGCUCUUUCUUGGCAUCUUCUUGGUGAACGUUGCUGCACUUGACUGUGUGGAGCGCUACCCAGGACUUUUACUUUGAGGAAAUUAGAGUGUUUCAAGCAGGCAUACGCCUUGAAUACAUUAGCAUGGAAUAAUAAGAUAGGACCUCGGUUCUAUUUUGUUGGUUUCUAGAGCUGAGGUAAUGAUUAAUAGGGAUAGUUGGGGGCAUUCGUAUUUAACUGUCAGAGGUGAAAUUCUUGGAUUUGUUAAAGACGGACUACGGCGAAAGCAUUUGCCAAGGAUGUUUUCAUUGA